rnacentral:rRNA from 1 species
CAGUCGCCAGGGAAUACGAAGGGUGCAAGCGUUACUCGGAAUUACUGGGCGUAAAGCGUGCGUAGGUGGUGGUUUAAGUCCGUUGUGAAAGCCCUGGGCUCAACCUGGGAAUUGCAGUGGAUACUGGGUCACUAGAGUGUGGUAGAGGAUAGUGGAAUUUCCGGUGUAGCAGUGAAAUGCGUAGAGAUCGGAAGGAACAUCUGUGGCGAAGGCGACUAUCUGGGCCAACACUGACACUGAGGCACGAAAGCGUGGGGAGCAAACAGGAUUAGAUACCCGGGUAGUCCCUGUCUCUUAUACA